rnacentral:lncRNA from 1 species
GGUAUUUUGUCAUGACAAUGAGAAGAAUAACUAAAAUAUAGUUGAAAAGGAAAAAGACCUCACCCCUCUGAUGUCGGUGGCAGAAGGUCAAACGCAUCCCAGCACAUCGAGAGAGAUAAGAAGAAGCUGUGUACACCAGAGAAACCCAGAAAAGUGUACCAAGCUGUUCACCAUCAAAAUCAGGCAUAUUCGAAGGGCAGUUAGGAGGAAAAAAUGUGUUCGGGAAAGGAAAACCAGGAUCUCGUAGAAGAAUGCAGAAAAAAAGUCUGCUGGAGAGAAGCCUGCUCAGAAAAGAUAGGCAGUGGCUCCGCUAUAGCUUCCAAGCCCCCGGCUGGGGGAAAGGGCUUGAUUUUAGGGGAUGGAGCUUAAGAACAUCAAAAGCUGGGGCUAGAUGUCUGAGGCAGACCCAGCAAAGCAUCUGAAGACAGCCACGAUCUUUGAUCAGCUGCAAGUACAUUAAACGCUGUCCAGAGUUUCCCCCUAUCCGGACCCUUGGUGCCAUUGUGUCCCAGUCGCUUUGAUGUCCUUGUGGAGGAACUGAACAGAAUGUAAGGUGACUUUCCGCAGACAUAUUUUAGUUAAUGCUCGUCGCUGUCUCUAGGGACACGUUCCAGUGUGGGACGUAGAUGUAA